rnacentral:rRNA from 1 species
AUGGCACUCCAACGACCCUUAUUUUCUCCACUCUUGUUCCUUUGCUUCCAUCUGCUGGCUGCAUUACACACAACCUCCGAUGCAGCCUUGAGCUCACACCUGCCUCAAGCCAUGGACUGUUCAACGUCCGGCAACUACACCUCUAACAGUGCCUACCCUGCCAACCUGAACCAAUUCCUUGCUUCUCUCCCAGAGAAGACUAUCUUCAAGAACGGUGGUUUCAUCAACGACACGGUCGGGGAGGGCUCGGGCACCGUUUACAGGCUGGCAAUGUGCUCCGCUGACUACUCGCGCUCUGACUGCGGUGACUGCCUCGCGGCCGCUGCUAGAAGCAACGCUAACGGUCUGCCGAACCGCUGCCCCGGGAGCACCACCGUGCUCGCCUGGUUCGACCCGUGCCUCGUCCGCUACUCCGACACCAACUUCUUUGGCAAAGCUGAAAUAGGUGAAAUCUACGCGCUGAAUGGUCCAAGAGCCAUCUGGGAGCCGAUGCGGUACCGUGAUGACGUAGUCAGAAACUUGAACGAGUCGAUAGGGGCCGCAGUGGCCUCGUCGCAGCGAUUCGCGGCAUCGUCGACGGAUCCAUACACGUUGGUUCAGUGCACGUGGGACCUGCCGCCGGACCAGUGCAAGCAGUGCCUGGACGUGCUGACGGCCAAUGCGUCGAAGGACUGGACUUCCAUGGCAGUAGAUGGUAAGCGUAGGAGCUAUAGCUGUUCUGUUAGGUACGGCAACACCAGCUUCGUGGUUGUGCCGUUCGGCGGUGCUCCUACCUCGCAGUCCGUAGACCAAGCAAGCAGACCAGCUACUCAGUCCAGCGGCCCCAGCAAAGGUUCUUGGACAGCUGGCGUGGUGGGAUCUGUAGUUGGUCUAAUUCUCUUGGCUUGUUUAGCAGCUCUGGUGGUCAAGCUAAAGAGCAAGCAUGAAACAGGGCAUGUUCGAGAGUUCACUUACCGGGAAUUGGCGACUGCAACACUUACCUUCAAGGACACAAGAAAGCUUGGACAGGGUGCAUUUGGCAUUGUCUAUAAAGGUGCAGUGAUGAUAGAAGGCACACAAGUGGAGGUGGCUAUAAAAAAGAAUACAAGUGAUGUGUCAGAUGAAACGAGGAAGGCCUUUAAGAACGAGGUUGAAAUUAUGAGCCCGCUGAACCAUCGCAACAUUAUACAUCUUGUGGGUUGGUGCAACGAAAAGAACAACCUCUUGCUUGUCUACGAACUAGUGGAGAAUCGCAACCUUGAAGCUCGGCUUUACAACCAUGGUGGUACAGAUUUAGUUCUUGAUUGGCGCCAAAGGUACAACAUAUUGGUUGGAAUAGCCUCGGGUCUUGAAUAUCUCCAUAAUAAUUGUUCAAGAACCGUCCUCCACAGGGACAUCAAGCCAGCUAAUGUGAUGCUGGAUAUGGACUUCACUGCUAAACUGUGUGACUUCGGUUUGGUGACACAACUUACACGUGCCGCAACCUCACGCUCAACAAAUAACAUUAUUGGAACACUAGGCUACAUGGACCCAUUAUACCAGCAGAACGGCCAGGUUACUAAAGAAUCUGAUGUCUACAGCUUCGGUGUGCUGUUGCUUGAGGUACUAUGUGGCGUGGCGCCGAUCCUGAUUGGCAAUCCCUUGAAAAACAGCCUCAUCGAGAAUGUCCGGGAAUGUCGUGGGAGAAAUGCAAUUCUCGAUGCAGCUCACCAACGGCUGAGGGGCGAGUAUGAUGAGGAAAUUAAAGGAGCGUUGUUGAUCGGGCUCCACUGUGUCGAAACAAGACGUGGUGACCGCCCAACUAUCAGAAUUGUGUUGUCCAAUUUAGUCAGCUUGACCGCAUCACAUGUUGUGAUGUCUUGA